CAGUAGCCGCGGUAAUACAGAGGGUGCAAGCGUUAAUCGGAAUUACUGGGCGUAAAGCGCGCGUAGGUGGUUCGCCAAGUUGGAUGUGAAAUCCCCGGGCUCAACCUGGGAACUGCAUCCAAAACUGGCGAGCUAGAGUAUGGUAGAGGGUGGUGGAAUUUCCUGUGUAGCGGUGAAAUGCGUAGAUAUAGGAAGGAACAUCAGUGGCGAAGGCAAUCCCCUGGGCCUGUACUGACGCUCAUGCACGAAAGCGUGGGGAGCAAACAGGAUUAGAUACCCGUGUAGUCCCUGUCUCUUAUAA
rnacentral:rRNA from 1 species